CCGCACAAGUAGCGGAGCAUGUGGUUUAAUUCGAAGCAACGCGAAGAACCUUACCUAAGCUUGACAUCCCAAUGACAUCUCCUUAAUCGGAGAGUUCCCUUCGGGGACAUUGGUGACAGGUGGUGCAGGGUUGUCGUCAGCUCGUGUCGUGGGAUGUUGGGUUAAGUCCCGCAACGAGCGCAACCCUUGUCUUUAGUUGCCAUCAUUAAGUUGGGCACUCUAGAGAGACUGCCAGGGAUAACCUGGAGGAAGGUGGGGAUGACGUCAAAUCAUCAUGCCCCUUAUGCUUAGGGC
rnacentral:rRNA from 1 species